rnacentral:rRNA from 1 species
CCUACGGGAGGCAGCAGUGAGGAAUAUUGGGCAAUGGAGGCAACUCUGACCCAGCCAUGCCGCGUGAGUGAAGAAGGUUUUCGGAUUGUAAAGCUCUUUCGGAUGUGACGAUGAUGACGGUAGCCUCUCACGAAGCCCCGGCUUGCUUCGUGCCAGCAGCCGCGGUACUACGACGGGGGCAAGCGUUGUUCGGAAUUACUGGGCGUAAAGGGAGUGUAGGCGGUUUAGUCAGUUAGUGGUGAAAUCCCAGAGCUUAACUUUGGAAUUGCCAUUAUAACUAUUAGACUAGAAUUACAGAGAGGAUAGUGGAAUACCCAGUGUAGAGGUGAAAUUCGUAGAUAUUGGGUAGAACACCAGUGGCGAAGGCGACUAGCUGGCUGUACAUUGACGCUGAGGCUCGAAAGCAUGGGGAUCAAACAGGAUUAGAUACCCGAGUAGUC